rnacentral:rRNA from 1 species
AGAACGAACGCUGGCGGCAUGCCUAACACAUGCAAGUCGAACGCUCACCGGGCUUCGGUUCGGUGGGAGUGGCGCACGGGUGAGUAGCGCGUGGGAACCUGCCCUGUUGUGGGGGAUAACCGAGGGAAACUUCGGCUAAUACCGCAUAAGCCGGUUGUCUUGAAAGAGAUGGCCGGGAAAGAUUUAUCGCGACAGGAGGGGCCCGCGUCGGAUUAGCUAGUUGGUGGGGUAACGGCCCACCAAGGCUGUGAUCCGUAGCUGGUCUGAGAGGAUGAUCAGCCACACUGGGACUGAGACACGGCCCAGACUCCUACGGGAGGCAGCAGUGGGGAAUAUUGGACAAUGGGCGCAAGCCUGAUCCAGCAAUGCCGCGUGAGUGAUGAAGGCCUUAGGGUUGUAAAGCUCUUUCGCCCGCGACGAUGAUGACGGUAGCGGGAGAAGAAGCCCGGCUAACUUCGCGCCAGCAGCCGC